rnacentral:tRNA from 1 species
GGACUUGUAGCUCAAUUGGUAGAGCACUCGACUCUUAAUCGAUAGGUUCUGGGUUCGAGUCCCAGCAAGUCCACCA